CUGGACUGCACAAAGUGUAACAUAAUGGUACAAAGUAAAACCAUCCAACAGUGAGGGUAAAAAUAUAUACAUCUUUGGUGAUCGCGUCAUGGCCGAGAAGGUGCUGUUUCAGAGUCUGCUCCUAUGAUAAAGAUGGCAUCUUCAGGACUGUCUCCUACUUUUUCAGGAAACCAGAGGUUUCAGAUAUAGUAAUCUUCAAGGCUCCUCCAGUUUUAGUGGAACAUGGUUACAGCCCGAAUGAGGUGUAAAUUUCAUUAAGAGGAUAGUGGCAAGUGAAGGUGACUGGGUUGAAGUACGCCCUUUUAAUCCAAUCCACUUGUUGUUUGAUCCUAUUCUCAUCUCACCAAUUGAAGUCUUUGUAUAACUCGGGUCGGUAUUUUACUUUUUCUCAGAAAAUGGACUUAACCUUUUUCUCUGUUUUUCAUUUUUCAUCAAGUUUUUGUUUUAACCUACUAUGGAUGAUAUGGUAAUGCUGGUUCGUGACGGGAAGCUCUUUGUGAAUGACAUUGUGCAAGAAGAAGAGUUUGUCUUGGAGCCAAUUUUAUGUCUUUGUACUCGGAGACAACUGCAACAAGAGCUUUGGUUCUCAAUUUCUCAUAACUGGGGACCACUCCCAAUAAAGAACAUAGUUGGAAGAUCUGUGUUACGGUAUUGGUCACCGAGCAAAGUAUCAGAAACCAUAUACCACGACCAAGCUGUUGUGCCAAAGGGACCUGUUGAUUUUUCAUGACAAAGUAAAGUUGGAUUGAUGCUUUCAUAAGAUUAACCACAAGAUUGUGCAAACCAGUCUGGUCAGAAUCAGCCAGCCAUUGGAAUUGGAAACUCAAAAUAUCUGGGACACUGUUAUAUAUUAAUCUUUGAAUAGUCAAUGUAAUUAGAGUACAGAGCGGAAUAAAGUAGUGAAGAU